GCCAGGCGCGGUGGCGUGCACCUGUAGUACCAACUACUGGGGAGGCUGAGGAGGGAGGAUCUCUUGAGUCCAGGAGUUUUCGGCUGCAGUGCACUAUGCCAAUUGAUCGACUGUGUGUCCAUACUAAGUUCGGCAUCAACGUGGUGACCUCCCCGGAGCGGGGGACCACCAGGUUGCCCAAGGAGGAGUGAAGCACUCCAGGUUGAAACCGAGCAGGACAAAACUCCUGUGCUGAUCUAGAAAAUCAUUUGGCAGUUUCUUUAAAAACUACAUGUGCAACUACUAUUUACCCA
rnacentral:SRP_RNA from 1 species